AUUAACGCUAGCGGCAGGCAUAAUACAUGCAAGUUGAACGGCAGCACAGGUAGCAAUACUGGGUGGCGAGUGGCGCACGGGUGCGUAACACGUAUGCAACCUGCCCUAUACAGGCGAAUAACCUUUAGAAAUGAGGGCUAAUACGCCGUGGUAUUAUCUUGGGGCAUCUUGAGAUAAUUAAAGAUUUAUCGGUAUAGGAUGGGCAUGCGUCCCAUUAGUUAGUUGGUAGGGUAACGGCCUACCAAGGCGAUGAUGGGUAGGGG
rnacentral:rRNA from 1 species